ACGAGAACGGAUUAUAGCUUGCUAUAAUUGUCAGCUAAGUGGCGCACGGGUGAGUAAUGUAUAGGUAAUAUGCCUCUUACUAAGGGAUAACAAAUGGAAACGUUUGCUAAUACCUUAUACUCCUUAUUAACAGAAGUUAAUAAGGGAAAGAUUUAUUGGUAAGAGAUUAGCCUGUAUUGUAUCAGUUAGUUGGUGGGGUAAUGGCUUACCAAGACUAUGACACAUAACUGGUUUGAGAGGAUGAUCAGUCACACUGGAACUGAGACACGGUCCAGACUCCUACGGGAGGCAGCAGUGGGGAAUAUUGCACAAUGGACGAAAGUCUGAUGCAGCAACGCCGCGUGGAGGAUGACACAUUUCGGUGCGUAAACUCCUUUUAUAUGAGAAGAUAAUGACGGUAUUAUAUGAAUAAGCACCGGCUAACUCCGUGCCAGCAGCCGCGGUAAUACGGGGGGUGCAAGCGUUACUCGGAAUCACUGGGCGUAAAGAGCAUGUAGGCGGAUUAAUAAGUUUGAAGUGAAAUCCUAUAGCUUAACUAUAGAACUGCUUUGAAAACUGUUAAUCUAGAAUGUGGGAGAGGUAGAUGGAAUUUCUGGUGUAGGGGUAAAAUCCGUAGAGAUCAGAAGGAAUACCGAUUGCGAAGGCGAUCUACUGGAACAUUAUUGACGCUGAGAUGCGAAAGCGUGGGGAGCAGACAGGAUUAGAUACCCUGGUAGUCCACGCCCUAAACGAUGUACACUAGUUGUUGUGAGACUUGAUCUUGCAGUAAUGCAGUUUACACAUUAUAGUGUACCGCCUG
rnacentral:rRNA from 1 species